GAAAUGCGAUAAGUAAUGUGAAUUGCAGAAUUCCGUGAAUCAUCGAAUCUUUGAACGCACAUUGCGCCCUCUGGUAUUCCGGGGGGCAUGCCUGUCCGAGCGUCAUUGCGAACCCCUCAAGCACGGCUUGUGUGAUGGGCCCUCCCGCGUCUUGGUCGUCAAGACGGGCCCGAAAUGCAGUGGCAGCUUCGCGGUUAUCCGAUCAGCCAGAGCGUAUGGGGACUUUCUCUCUGUCACACGCCCGCGGCGCGGACCGACGCCUGUCGACCUUCAUUCAUCGUUUUCUCGGUUGACCUCGGAUCAGGUAGGGAUACCCGCUGAACUUAAGC
rnacentral:misc_RNA from 1 species